GAAGAUGUAGCUCAGUGGAAGAGCACUUGCUUAGCAUGCAUAAGGUCCUGGAUUCAAUCCCCAGUACCUCCA
rfam:Camelus ferus unplaced genomic scaffold scaffold760, whole genome shotgun sequence.